GUCGAUGUUAGGAGGUCAUUUAUUGACAAGGGAGAAGGUGACUCCUCGGCGAGACGGCUAGCUUGUCAAAUCGUACAAAAAUAACCAACAGAGGGCUGGUUGCGGGGAAAUUAGCAACCAUGGCUUCUUUUGGAAGGGCGUUGGGAGUCCUUCGCACAGGAUCUCAGCUCCUGAGACGUGGUACACAGAGGAUAACGAUCAGAAAUUGUAGCGGCACACCGGCUAUAGUGCCACGGUACAGGCAGUUCCCCAUAAUAUCGAAGAGACAUGUUUUGACCUCCGAGCUGCUUAGCGGUACCAUGUGGUUCUGGAUCCUCUGGCACAGUUGGCACGACCCUGAUGCAGUCAUGGGUCACUUCCCCUGGCCUGAUGCCUCUGAAUGGACAGAUGAGGAGCUUGGAAUCCCACCAGAUGACGAAGAAUAAGAUCAUUUCUUCCGUUUCAUUUGCUUAAAAAGGACAAAGGUCACAAUGAGGAAUUCUAGCUGCGGGGCAAGUCUAAAUCUUCUGGAUAUCCCAAAAGUCAGUUCUGUAAAUAAACUAAUAAAAAGAUCUUUAAAAAUAUAAAAGAAAAAGAAAAAACAGCAAACACAAAAGGC